UACGUAGGGGGCGAGCGUUGUCCGGAAUCAUGGGGCGUAAAGCGCGUGUAGGCGGUUCAGUAAGUCUGCUGUGAAAGUCCAGGGCUCAACCCUGGGAUGCCGGUGGAUACUGCUGAACUAGAGUGCGGAAGAGGCGAGUGGAAUUCCCGGUGUAGCGGUGAAAUGCGCAGAUAUCGGGAGGAACACCAAUUGCGAAGGCAGCUCGCUGGGACGUUACUGACGCUGAGACGCGAAAGCGUGGGGAGCAAACAGG
rnacentral:rRNA from 1 species